rnacentral:rRNA from 1 species
UACGGAGGGUGCAAGCGUUGUUCGGAAUUACUGGGCGUAAAGGGCGCGUAGGCGGCCAACUAAGUCACACGUGAAAUCCCCAGGCUUAACCUGGGAACUGCGUGUGAUACUGGAUGGCUUGAAUUCGGGAGAGGGAUGCAGAAUUCCAGGUGUAGCGGUGAAAUGCGUAGAUAUCUGGAGGAACACCUGAGGUGAAGACGGGUUGCUAGGCUGACACUGACGCUGAGGCGCGAAAGCCAGGGGAGCAAACGGG